AUUGAACGCUGGCGGCAUGCCUUACACAUGCAAGUCGAACGGCAGCACGGGGCAACCUGGUGGCGAGUGGCGAACGGGUGAGUAAUGCAUCGGAACGUGCCAUUGAGUGGGGGAUAACGUAGCGAAAGUUGCGCUAAUACCGCAUAUUCUGUGAGCAGGAAAGCAGGGGACCGCAAGGGCCUUGCGCUCUUUGAGCGGCCGAUGUCAGAUUAGCUAGUUGGUGAGGUAACGGCUUACCAAGGCGACGAUCUGUAGCGGGUCUGAGAGGAUGAUCGCCACACUGGAACUGAGACACGGUCCAGACUCCUACGGGAGGCAGCAGUGGGAAUUUUGGACAAUGGCGCAAGCCUGAUCCAGCC
rnacentral:rRNA from 1 species